CAAAAAGUGGAAGAAAUACACUGGAUUUGAUUCAAAGGAUCAGGCCCCCGCCGGACGUGCUCAUCCUGGACCAAUUGAUAAUGCUGCUAUUCUUUCUGAAGACAAUGUACCUCAAAAACUAAUUAAUCAUCUCAAGGAAGGACAGGACUAUGCACUACUACCUGAGCCUGCAUGGAAUCUUUUACUGAGUUGGUAUGGACUAUCAGUAGGAUCAAGACCUAUUAUUAGGAAUGUAGUAGAGUAUGGACAAUAUGUUAAGCACUUGAAGGUUGAAGUUUACUUGAUUGAUUUAAAAUUAUGUGUACAUCCUAACAUUAAUGAUAUUAAAACAGGUUCAUUUAGUGGAGUAGAUACA